rnacentral:rRNA from 1 species
AUUGAACGCUGGCGGCAGGCCUAACACAUGAAAGUCGAACGAGUGGCGGACGGGUGAGUAAUGUCUGGGAAACUGCCCGAUGGAGGGGGAUAACUACUGGAAACGGUAGCUAAUACCGCAUACCAUCAGAUGUUCCCAGCUGGGAUUAGCUAGUAGGUGGGGUAACGGCUCACCAAGGCAACGAUCCCUAGCUGGUCUGAGAGGAUGACCAACCACACGGGAACUGAGACACGGGCCAGACUCCUACGGGAGGCAGCAGUGGGAAAUAUGGCACAAUGGGCGCAAGCCUGAUGCAGCCAUGCCGCGUGUAUGAAGAAGGCCUGCGGGUUGUAAAGUACUUUCAGCGGGGAGGCGUUACCCGCAGAAGAAGCACCGGCUAACUCCGUGCCAGCAGCCGCGGUAAUAC